CAUAGGCAAAACUUGUUUGAGCUAGCUUUAGGUUUUGGUAGCUAACAGGCUUAGCUUUCCGUCCGAUAAUGGAUUCAGAGCUGGGACUCAGUAAAACCCUAUCGACCUAGAAAUGUACAGACCUAUGUGACGAUAACAAACGGCAGACAUAUUGUUUCAGUACAGUAGUAUUCAAAGACUGCUAUUACAUUAUUUAACGGGCUGUAAUCUCGACACAACGAACACACCUAACGAGGACUAAACGUUGUCAGACGACUGGAGCAAAUUCAUCAACGUUUUCAAAUGAAUGUUGACUCGAGAACUAUGAAAUAAAGGCCAUUGUCGCCUACCUUGCAUGCUGCUGCUCUGUGUCUGCUGGUGGAAAUGGUGCGACGUGGAUCCUACAAUGUUGCUGGAGCUUGUGGAGUUGCUGUCAGGACUGGGAGUCGCCAUUGUUGUGUUGGAUUCCGGCAGCGCUCAGGCUGCAAUGCAGAGAGUGAAACUUCGCCCGCUCUGCCUCCAGACGGGACACUGCGCCACUUGAACGCAGCAGCUGCACCACGGCCACGUCUGUGCCGCUGCCGCCUUCGCGGCCUGUCGGAAAUGCAGUAAAUCACCACUUCACAGCGCUAUGUUUGACAUGUUUCUGUCUCUUGUGCAAACCGACACACUACAUAAUAUACCUCCCUCUAUAUAUCAUCAUGUUGACACAUCUGAGAGGUGCUGAAAAUAUUGAUAUUUUUAAACCUAAACUAAAAAACAUCUAUUCAUUUGUUUUAACAUUUUACUGUUGACCAUUAUUUCUUUUUUUAAUUUUGUCUAUUUUUUUUAUCACCAUUUACUCUUAGCCAUUGUUUUACUGUUUUAUUAUUAGCAAUAUAUUUAUUAUUAGCAAUAUUAUAAAAUAUUGUAUUGUCUUAUUUAAUUACAUUUUUUGGUGUGUGUCAGUCUAAAUCCUUUUUUAACAAUCUGUUUUGUCAGUCUCUUGUAAAGCACUUUGAUUUGCAUUUAAUCGUAUUGUAUACUGUAUCACUAUUUGCAUGUAUUUAAUGUGAGUUCACUUUUGACCUUUGAAAUUGUAAUUUGACAAAAUAACCAAACUCAAGGUCCACUUGCUCACUAAAGUAGAGGUUUCAGUCUCAUCGCAUGGUCAGUGGAUGGAGUUUGCUCAGUUGCCAUGGCGAUUAUGGAGAUAUAUAAGGGAAUGCUAUUUACAAUACCUGUUGUCACAUGUCCAUACUCAGAUAACUCCACCUGCUGAUGAAGGCUGAGAUGCAGAAGCUCCAGAAAAAGCUAGCAAGCUGACUUUGAGUUAACUUUUUGUCUCAUACGUAUUUUUAGCCCCCUCCAUAACAUCUCUUCCUGUCUGUCACGUCAAUAUCAUUUUUGUCUAAGUUGUAGUUUUUGGCAUUAUUUUAAUGUUUAUGUGUCUAAGUGUGUUUAACACUUUUCAGUUGAUUGUAUCACCACUUUUUCAUCUGCAAGUAAAAACUCACACAUUAAUGUA